AGCCUGUAGUCUGUGAGUGGUAUUAACCUGUUGGCUUAAUGUCCAUAGUGGAAUAAGCUAGCUAGCUACAGGCUAGUGCUAGCCUACAUUUAAUCACCAUUUAAUCAGUGCAGGGAAACGUUUAGCAAGAUGUUCAUAUUAAAUCAUUGUCCCUGCCCCUUUUAGCAGCCUUAACAACAGAUGAGUCAGCAGCAGCCCAGUCUCCCCCUAACUGAGCCCCUCCCUGUCCCAGUGAAGAAGUGACGUCCCUGGAAUCGGCUAUCCAAAGCCCCGCUGAAGCAGAUAUUCUGUGCCGGCGCCAGGAGAAACACGGAGCUGACUCCAGGCUGGACUGGACUUGGUUGUCGUUUCACCCUGGGACAGAAUAUUGGACAAUCCAUGGUUCUAUUGUCUCCCCUGGUUUUUGAGGAGAUUGUGAUUUUAAUGUCAGUUUAAACUUAACUUUUAAAAUAUUAA